GGGGAAUAUUGCACAAUGGGGGAAACCCUGAUGCAGCGACGCCGCGUGAGGGAAGACGGUUUUCGGAUUGUAAACCUCUGUCUUGUGGGACGAUAGUGACGGUACCACAGGAGGAAGCCAUGGCUAACUACGUGCCAGCAGCCGCGGUAAUACGUAGAUGGCGAGCGUUGUCCGGAAUUACUGGGUGUAAAGGGAGUGUAGGCGGGCUGGUAAGUUGAAUGUGAAACCUUCGGGCUCAACCCGGAGCGUGCGUUCAAAACUGCUGGUCUUGAGUGAAGUAGAGGCAGGCGGAAUUCCCGGUGUAGCGGUGGAAUGCGUAGAUAUCGGGAGGAACACCAGUGGCGAAGGCGGCCUGCUGGGCUUUUACUGACGCUGAGGCUCGAAAGCAUGGGUAGCAAAC
rnacentral:rRNA from 1 species